rnacentral:snoRNA from 1 species
AGGCUUUGUGUUGCCCAUUCACUUUGGGAAAUUGGUGACCGUGGUGUCAAACAAGGCAUAAACCAAACACUUUUGCAGGCCUUUCUGCCCUUGUAUUUGAAAUCUUUGGAGUAGAAGCUGCAUAAGUAAUAGCU